rnacentral:rRNA from 1 species
UACGUAGGGUGCAAGCGUUAAUCGGAAUUACUGGGCGUAAAGCGUGCGCAGGCGGCUUCGCAAGACAGAUGUGAAAUCCCCGGGCUUAACCUGGGAACUGCAUUUGUGACUGCAAGGCUGGAGUGCGGCAGAGGGGGAUGGAAUUCCGCGUGUAGCAGUGAAAUGCGUAGAUAUGCGGAGGAACACCGAUGGCGAAGGCAAUCCCCUGGGCCUGCACUGACGCUCAUGCACGAAAGCGUGGGGAGCAAACAGG